AUACGGGAGGCAGCAGUGAGGAAUUUUGGACAAUGGGCGCAAGCCUGAUCCAGCCAUGCCGCGUGCGGGAAGAAGGCCUUCGGGUUGUAAACCGCUUUUGUCAGGGAAGAAAUCUUCUGAGCUAAUACCUCGGGAGGAUGACGGUACCUGAAGAAUAAGCACCGGCUAACUACGUGCCAGCAGCCGCGGUAAUACGUAGGGUGCGAGCGUUAAUCGGAAUUACUGGGCGUAAAGCGUGCGCAGGCGGUCUUGCAAGACCGGUGUGAAAUCCCCGGGCUUAACCUGGGAACUGCACUUGUGACUGCAAGGCUGGAGUACGGCAGAGGGGGAUGGAAUUCCGCGUGUAGCAGUGAAAUGCGUAGAUAUGCGGAGGAACACCGAUGGCGAAGGCAAUCCCCUGGGCCUGUACUGACGCUCAUGCACGAAAGCGUGGGGAGCAAACAGGAUUAGAAACCCCUGUAGUCCC
rnacentral:rRNA from 1 species